rnacentral:lncRNA from 1 species
UCACCGGCGCUUAAGCAUUUUCAACAAAUAAAGUAACCAACAACAUCACCUUCUAAACAAAAGUUCACUUUUAAAGUCACCGGCACUUAAGCAUUUUCAACAAAUAAAGUAACCAACAACAUCACCUUCUAAACAAAAGUUAAACUAUUAAAGUCACCGUCACUUAAGCAUUUUCAGCAAAUAGAGUCACUAACAACAUCACCUCCCAAACACUAGUUCACUAUUAAAGUCACCAAAAGUUAAGCUUUUUCAACCAACAAAGGCACCAAUGAAACUAAUUCACUAUUAAAGUCACCGGCACUUAAGCAUUUACAACAAAUAAAGUAACCAAUAACAUCAUCUUCUAAACAAAAGUUAAACUAUUAAAGUCACCGUCACUUAAGCAUUUUCAGCAAAUAGAGUCACUAACAACAUCACCUCCCAAACACUAGUUCAGUAUUAAAGUCACCAAAACUUAAGCUUUUUCAACUAACAAAGGCACCAAUGAAACUAAUUCACUAUUAAAGUCACCGGCACUUAAGCAUUUACAACAAAUAAAGUAACCAAUAACAUCAUCUUCUAAACAAAAGUUAAACUAUUAAAGUCACCGUCACUUAAGCAUUUUCAGCAAAUAGAGUCACUAACAACAUCACCUCCCAAACACUAGUUCAGUAUUAAAGUCACCAAAACUUAAGCUUUUUCAACUAACAAAGGCACCAAUGAAACUAAUUCACUAUUAAAGUCACCGGCACUUAAGCAUUUACAACAAAUAAAGUAACCAAUAACAUCAUCUUCUAAACAAAAGUUAAACUAUUAAAGUCACCGUCACUUAAGCAUUUUCAGCAAAUAGAGUCACUAACAACAUCACCUCCCAAACACUAGUUCAGUAUUAAAGUCACCAAAACUUAAGCUUUUUCAACUAACAAAGGCACCAAUGAAACUAAUUCACUAUUAAAGUCACCGGCACUUAAGCAUUUACAACAAAUAAAGUAACCAAUAACAUCAUCUUCUAAACAAAAGUUAAACUAUUAAAGUCACCGUCACUUAAGCAUUUUCAGCAAAUAGAGUCACUAACAACAUCACCUCCCAAACACUAGUUCAGUAUUAAAGUCACCAAAACUUAAGCUUUUUCAACUAACAAAGGCACCAAUGAAACUAAUUCACUAUUAAAGUCACCGGCACUUAAGCAUUUACAACAAAUAAAGUAACCAAUAACAUCAUCUUCUAAACAAAAGUUAAACUAUUAAAGUCACCGUCACUUAAGCAUUUUCAGCAAAUAGAGUCACUAACAACAUCACCUCCCAAACACUAGUUCAGUAUUAAAGUCACCAAAACUUAAGCUUUUUCAACUAACAAAGGCACCAAUGAAACUAAUUCACUAUUAAAGUCACCGGCACUUAAGCAUUUACAACAAAUAAAGUAACCAAUAACAUCAUCUUCUAAACAAAAGUUAAACUAUUAAAGUCACCGUCACUUAAGCAUUUUCAGCAAAUAGAGUCACUAACAACAUCACCUCCCAAACACUAGUUCAGUAUUAAAGUCACCAAAACUUAAGCUUUUUCAACUAACAAAGGCACCAAUGAAACUAAUUCACUAUUAAAGUCACCGGCACUUAAGCAUUUACAACAAAUAAAGUAACCAAUAACAUCAUCUUCUAAACAAAAGUUAAACUAUUAAAGUCACCGUCACUUAAGCAUUUUCAGCAAAUAGAGUCACUAACAACAUCACCUCCCAAACACUAGUUCAGUAUUAAAGUCACCAAAACUUAAGCUUUUUCAACUAACAAAGGCACCAAUGAAACUAAUUCACUAUUAAAGUCACCGGCACUUAAGCAUUUACAACAAAUAAAGUAACCAAUAACAUCAUCUUCUAAACAAAAGUUAAACUAUUAAAGUCACCGUCACUUAAGCAUUUUCAGCAAAUAGAGUCACUAACAACAUCACCUCCCAAACACUAGUUCAGUAUUAAAGUCACCAAAACUUAAGCUUUUUCAACUAACAAAGGCACCAAUGAAACUAAUUCACUAUUAAAGUCACCGGCACUUAAGCAUUUACAACAAAUAAAGUAACCAAUAACAUCAUCUUCUAAACAAAAGUUAAACUAUUAAAGUCACCGUCACUUAAGCAUUUUCAGCAAAUAGAGUCACUAACAACAUCACCUCCCAAACACUAGUUCAGUAUUAAAGUCACCAAAACUUAAGCUUUUUCAACUAACAAAGGCACCAAUGAAACUAAUUCACUAUUAAAGUCACCGGCACUUAAGCAUUUACAACAAAUAAAGUAACCAAUAACAUCAUCUUCUAAACAAAAGUUAAACUAUUAAAGUCACCGUCACUUAAGCAUUUUCAGCAAAUAGAGUCACUAACAACAUCACCUCCCAAACACUAGUUCAGUAUUAAAGUCACCAAAACUUAAGCUUUUUCAACUAACAAAGGCACCAAUGAAACUAAUUCACUAUUAAAGUCACCGGCACUUAAGCAUUUACAACAAAUAAAGUAACCAAUAACAUCAUCUUCUAAACAAAAGUUAAACUAUUAAAGUCACCGUCACUUAAGCAUUUUCAGCAAAUAGAGUCACUAACAACAUCACCUCCCAAACACUAGUUCAGUAUUAAAGUCACCAAAACUUAAGCUUUUUCAACUAACAAAGGCACCAAUGAAACUAAUUCACUAUUAAAGUCACCGGCACUUAAGCAUUUACAACAAAUAAAGUAACCAAUAACAUCAUCUUCUAAACAAAAGUUAAACUAUUAAAGUCACCGUCACUUAAGCAUUUUCAGCAAAUAGAGUCACUAACAACAUCACCUCCCAAACACUAGUUCAGUAUUAAAGUCACCAAAACUUAAGCUUUUUCAACUAACAAAGGCACCAAUGAAACUAAUUCACUAUUAAAGUCACCGGCACUUAAGCAUUUACAACAAAUAAAGUAACCAAUAACAUCAUCUUCUAAACAAAAGUUAAACUAUUAAAGUCACCGUCACUUAAGCAUUUUCAGCAAAUAGAGUCACUAACAACAUCACCUCCCAAACACUAGUUCAGUAUUAAAGUCACCAAAACUUAAGCUUUUUCAACUAACAAAGGCACCAAUGAAACUAAUUCACUAUUAAAGUCACCGGCACUUAAGCAUUUACAACAAAUAAAGUAACCAAUAACAUCAUCUUCUAAACAAAAGUUAAACUAUUAAAGUCACCGUCACUUAAGCAUUUUCAGCAAAUAGAGUCACUAACAACAUCACCUCCCAAACACUAGUUCAGUAUUAAAGUCACCAAAACUUAAGCUUUUUCAACUAACAAAGGCACCAAUGAAACUAAUUCACUAUUAAAGUCACCGGCACUUAAGCAUUUACAACAAAUAAAGUAACCAAUAACAUCAUCUUCUAAACAAAAGUUAAACUAUUAAAGUCACCGUCACUUAAGCAUUUUCAGCAAAUAGAGUCACUAACAACAUCACCUCCCAAACACUAGUUCAGUAUUAAAGUCACCAAAACUUAAGCUUUUUCAACUAACAAAGGCACCAAUGAAACUAAUUCACUAUUAAAGUCACCGGCACUUAAGCAUUUACAACAAAUAAAGUAACCAAUAACAUCAUCUUCUAAACAAAAGUUAAACUAUUAAAGUCACCGUCACUUAAGCAUUUUCAGCAAAUAGAGUCACUAACAACAUCACCUCCCAAACACUAGUUCAGUAUUAAAGUCACCAAAACUUAAGCUUUUUCAACUAACAAAGGCACCAAUGAAACUAAUUCACUAUUAAAGUCACCGGCACUUAAGCAUUUACAACAAAUAAAGUAACCAAUAACAUCAUCUUCUAAACAAAAGUUAAACUAUUAAAGUCACCGUCACUUAAGCAUUUUCAGCAAAUAGAGUCACUAACAACAUCACCUCCCAAACACUAGUUCAGUAUUAAAGUCACCAAAACUUAAGCUUUUUCAACUAACAAAGGCACCAAUGAAACUAAUUCACUAUUAAAGUCACCGGCACUUAAGCAUUUACAACAAAUAAAGUAACCAAUAACAUCAUCUUCUAAACAAAAGUUAAACUAUUAAAGUCACCGUCACUUAAGCAUUUUCAGCAAAUAGAGUCACUAACAACAUCACCUCCCAAACACUAGUUCAGUAUUAAAGUCACCAAAACUUAAGCUUUUUCAACUAACAAAGGCACCAAUGAAACUAAUUCACUAUUAAAGUCACCGGCACUUAAGCAUUUACAACAAAUAAAGUAACCAAUAACAUCAUCUUCUAAACAAAAGUUAAACUAUUAAAGUCACCGUCACUUAAGCAUUUUCAGCAAAUAGAGUCACUAACAACAUCACCUCCCAAACACUAGUUCAGUAUUAAAGUCACCAAAACUUAAGCUUUUUCAACUAACAAAGGCACCAAUGAAACUAAUUCACUAUUAAAGUCACCGGCACUUAAGCAUUUACAACAAAUAAAGUAACCAAUAACAUCAUCUUCUAAACAAAAGUUAAACUAUUAAAGUCACCGUCACUUAAGCAUUUUCAGCAAAUAGAGUCACUAACAACAUCACCUCCCAAACACUAGUUCAGUAUUAAAGUCACCAAAACUUAAGCUUUUUCAACUAACAAAGGCACCAAUGAAACUAAUUCACUAUUAAAGUCACCGGCACUUAAGCAUUUUCAACAAAUAAAGUAACCAAUAACAUCAUCUUCUAAACAAAAGUUAAACUAUUAAAGCCACCGUCACUUAAGCAUUUUCAACAAAUAGAGUCACCAACAACAUCACCUCCCAAACACUAGUUCAGUAUUAAAGUCACCAAAACUUAAGCUUUUUCAACUAACAAAGGCACCAAUGAAACUAAUUCACUAUUAAAGUCACCAAAACUUAAGCAUUUUCAACAAAUAAAGUCACCACCAACAUCACCUUUUAAACACUAAUUCACUAUUAAAGUCACCGGCACUUAAGCAUUUUCAACUAAUAAAAUGACCAACAACAUCACCUUAUAAAUUAAAGUUCACUAUUAAAGUCACCGACACUUAAGCAUUUUCGAUAGCUAAAGUAACCAACAACAUCACCUUCUAAACAAAAGUUCACUAUUAAAGUCACCGGCACUUAAGCAUUUUCAACAAAAUAAAGUCACCAACAACAUCACCUUCUAAACACUAAUUCACUAUUAAAGUCACCAGCACUUAAGAAUUUUCAACAAAUAAAGUAACCAACAACAUUACCUUCUAA